rnacentral:rRNA from 1 species
GCAGCCCUACGGGGCGCAGCAGUAGGGAAUAUUGCUCAAUGGGGGAAACCCUGAAGCAGCAACGCCGCGUGGAGGAUGAAGGUUUUCGGAUUGUAAACUCCUUUUGUUAGAGAAGAUAAUGACGGUAUCUAACGAAUAAGCACCGGCUAACUCCGUGCCAGCAGCCGCGGUAAUACGGAGGAUGCGAGCGUUAUCCGGAUUUAUUGGGUGUAAAGGGUGCGUAGACGGGAAAAUAAGUUAGUUGUGAAAUCCCUCGGCUCAACUGAGGAACUGCAACUAAAACUAUUUUUCUUGAGUGCAGGAGG